rnacentral:rRNA from 1 species
GCCUGAUGCAGCACGCCGCGUGAGGGAUGACGGCCUUCGGGUUGUAAACCUCUUUUAGCAGGGAAGAAGCGAAAGUGACGGUACCUGCAGAAAAAGCGCCGGCUAACUACGUGCCAGCAGCCGCGGUAAUACGUAGGGCGCAAGCGUUAUCCGGAAUUAUUGGGCGUAAAGAGCUCGUAGGCGGUUUGUCGCGUCUGCUGUGAAAUCCCGAGGCUCAACCUCGGGUCUGCAGUGGGUACGGGCAGACUAGAGUGCGGUAGGGGAGAUUGGAAUUCCUGGUGUAGCGGUGGAAUGCGCAGAUAUCAGGAGGAACACCGAUGGCGAAGGCAGAUCUCUGGGCCGUAACUGACGCUGAGGAGCGAAAGGGUGGGGAGCAAACAGGCUUAGAUACCCUGGUAGUCCACCCCGUAAACGUUGGGAACUAGUUGUGGGGACCAUUCCACGGUUUCCGUGACGCAGCUAACGCAUUAAGUUCCCCGCCUGGGGAGUACGGCCGCAAGGCUAAAACUCAAAGGAAUUGACGGGGACCCGCACAAGCGGCGGAGCAUGCGGAUUAAUUCGAUGCAACGCGAAGAACCUUACCAAGGCUUGACAUACACCAGAACACCGUAGAAAUACGGGACUCUUUGGACACUGGUGAACAGGUGGUGCAUGGUUGUCGUCAGCUCGU